GACGAACGCUGGCGGCGUGCUUAACACAUGCAAGUCGAACGGUAAGGCCCUUCGGGGUACACGAGUGGCGAACGGGUGAGUAACACGUGGGUGAUCUGCCCUGCACUUUGGGAUAAGCCUGGGAAACUGGGUCUAUUACCGGAUGGGACCAUGCGUUUCACGGUGUGUGGUGGAAAGCUUUUGCGGUGUGGGAUGGGCCCGCGGCCUAUCAGCUUGUUGGUGGGGUAAUGGCCUACCAAGGCGACGACGGGUAGCCGGCCUGAGAGGGUGACCGGCCACACUGGGACUGAGAUACGGCCCAGACUCCUACGGGAGGCAGCAGUGGGGAAUAUUGCACAAUGGGCGCAAGCCUGAUGCAGCGACGCCGCGUGAGGGAUGACGGCCUUCGGGUUGUAAACCUCUUUCAGUAGGGACGAAGCGCAAGUGACGGUACCUACAGAAGAAGGACCGGCCAACUACGUGCCAGCAGCCGCCGUAA
rnacentral:rRNA from 1 species